AUGGAGAUGGUGAAAGCAUGCAUGCGGCCUGCCGCCUCCGCGUCCUCGCGGCCCCGCGUGCUCGUGCUCGGCGGGACUGGCCGUGUCGGCGGCUCAACGGCCACCGCGCUCUCCCAGUUCCGGCUCGACCUCAACAUCCUCAUCGGCGGAAGGAACCGGGAGAAAGGUGUGCUGCUGGUAUCUAAGCUCGGACAGCGAUCUGAAUUCGUCCACGUUGAUAUUCACAAUUCAAGCAGGCUGAAAGAGGUGUUGGAGGGCGUGGAUUUGGUGAUUCAUGCCGCUGGACCAUUCCAGAGGGAUGACAAAUGCACAGUCCUGCAGGCAGCAGUAUUUACCAAGACAGGGUACACUGAUAUCUGCCAUGGAGUGGACUAUUCAUGGAGGGCAAAAUCUUUCCAUGAACAAGCAAAAGCUUCCGGCGUCCCAGCUCUCAUAACUGCAGGGAUAUCUCCUGGAGUGAGCAAUGUGAUGGCAGCUGAGCUUGUACGUACUGCAAAAGGCGAGAGUGGUGGUGAACCAGAAACACUGAGAUUCUUCUAUUACAUUGCAGGUACAGGUGGUGCAGGCCCAACUACGUUGGGCACAAGCUUGUUACUUCUUGGGGAGGAUGUAAUUGCCUAUGAUAAAGGGAGCGAAAUCAAACUAAAAGCCUACAGUGGAGCUCGCAACAUUGAUUUUGGAAAAGGGAUUGGGAAGAAAUAUGUUUACUUGAUGAACUUACCGGAGGUGAAGAGCACACACAAAAACUUAGGUCUGCCAACUGUUCAUGCUCAAUUUGGUUCAGAUCCUUUCAUCUGGAAUUGGGGAAUGGAAACGUUCGCAAACUUCUUGCCUUCUGACCUCUUGAGAGAUAAAAAUGUCACUCUAAAGUUUGCUGAGUGUGUUGACCCUUUCAUUCGAGUUAUUGAUGGGAUUGUAGGAGAGCGUGUCGCCAUGAGAAUUGAUCUCGAAAGUUCAAAUGGGCACACCACUACUGGAUUAUUUGCUCACAACAAUCUAUCCGUAUCAGUGGGCUAUGCAGCGGCCGCAUUUGCUCUAGCAGUUCUAGAAGGCAGCACAAAGCCAGGGGUUUGGUUUCCAGAAGAGCCAGAGGGAAUAGCUAUUGAUGCAAGGAAGCUCUUGCUCCGACGGGCAUCUCGAGGAGUAACGAACUUCACAAUGAACAAGAAUUCCGGGAUGAUAGAAUGCUGA
rnacentral:rRNA from 1 species